rnacentral:misc_RNA from 1 species
GAAACGCGAUAGGUAAUGUGAAUUGCAGAAUUCCGUGAAUCAUCGAAUCUUUGAACGCACAUUGCGCCUUCUGGUAUUCCGGUAGGCAUGCCUGUCUGAGCGUCAGCAAACACACUCAGCUGAAUUAUGUUAUUCGUGCUGGUCUUGGGUAGCGGAUGCCGGUGGUAAAAUACUUCCACCUGCGCCCUCCCUAAACUUGCUGCACGACCGCAAGCCCCUACUAGCCAGGUCAAUGGAGUGGUGUCACAAUCUUCCAGAAAGCCAGCUGGUAACUGCCUCGUGGCGUUAAACGUAAUGUCCUUCGCAGGACUAUGAAGUUUUGACCUCAGAUCAGACAAGGAUACCCGCUGAACUUAA